rnacentral:rRNA from 1 species
AACGAACGCUGGCGGCAGGCCUAACACAUGCAAGUCGAGCGAGACCUUCGGGUCUAGCGGCGGACGGGUUAGUAACGCGUGGGAACGUGCCCUUCUCUGCGGAAUAGCCACUGGAAACGGUGAGUAAUACCGCAUACGCCCUUCGGGGGAAAGAGUUUAUCGGAGAAGGAUCGGCCCGCGUUAGAUUAGAUAGUUGGUGGGUAACGGCCUACCAAGUCUACGAUCUAUAGCUGGUUUUAGAGGAUGAUCAGCAACACUGGGACUGAGACACGGCCCAGACUCCUACGGGAGGCAGCAGUGGGGAAUCUUAGACAAUGGGCGCAAGCCUGAUCUAGCCAUGCCGCGUGUGUGAUGAAGGUCUUAGGAUCGUAAAGCACUUUCGCCAGGGAUGAUAAUGACAGUACCUGGUAAAGAAACCCCGGCUAACUCCGUG